UUGCAACAAGAUUCCUUCUUGGAUGUUUUAAUGGCAUACUUGGAACAAUGAAGGCUUACUCAUCAGAAGUUUGCCGACCUGAACAUCAAGCCCUUGGGGUAUCUCUUGUUAGCUCUGGUUGGGGCAUUGGUUUGGUAAUUGGUCCUGCAGUUGGAGGUUAUUUAGCACAGG